rnacentral:rRNA from 1 species
UCACUGGGCUUAAAGAGUGUGUAGGCGGACAUACAGGUACUUUGUGAAAUCCCACGGCUCAACCGUGGAAUAGCUUGGUAAACCAUAUGUCUUGAGGCAGGUAGGGGUGGUCGGAACGAUAGGUGGAGCGGUGAAAUGCGUAGAUAUCUAUCGGAACGCCAACGGAGAAGUCAGGCCACUGGGCCUGUCCUGACGCUGAGACACGAAAGCAUGGGUAGCGAACGGGAUUAGAUACCCCGGUAGUCCAUGCCGUAAACGAUGCGAACUAGAUCGAGGAGGUUUGACGCCCUCUUGGUCGAAGCAAAAGUGUUAAGUUCGCCGCCUGGGGAGUACGGUCGCAAGGCUAAAACUCAAAGGAAUUGACGGGGGCUCACACAAGCGGUGGAGCAUGUGGCUUAAUUCGAAGCAACGCGAAGAACCUUAUCCAGGGUUUGACAUGUAUGGAUUAACUCAUUGAAAGAUGAGCCACACCUUCGGGUGGAACAUACACAGGUGCUGCAUGGCU